UGUAUGUAAGUUUGGUAGUCUGUGUAAGGGACGUUAACACUGUAUGUAAAACAAAGAUCUACUGUAUGUGUAAGAGAAUAUUAUUAUAUGUAAGCGUAAUAAAUAGUGUAUGUGAAUGCAAAUAAUCAUGUUUAUGGAACAGAAUGAUAGUGAAUGUAAGACAGAAUGAUAGUGCAUGUGAAUAAGAAUAGUUGUAUGUGUGAGAGAGUUUGAUGGUGUGUGUGUGAGAGUAUGAUAGUGUGUGUGUGAGAGUAUGAUAGUGUGUGUGAGAGAGUUUGAUUGAUACGGAAACGAGUUUGAUUGAAACGGAAGUAAUAUUAAAUUCUCAGUACCUGAUUGGUAGAAGACGCGGGAUUUCACAGACAUGUCCCGCCUUCCUCAUUAUUACUGAUAGGAGAGGAUAGUGGACCGAGAGAGAAUCAAUGGAGCAUCAGCCUGUUAACAUUUUAAACUUUUCCACCGCUGCCACAUCCAUGUCAGAAAUGUGGAUUUAAACCCGACAGCCCGACAGGAGUCUAAACGCGGCCGCGGAGGAAGAGAUGCGGUGAAGCUUUAUAUCCGAACCAUCAGCCGAGUGCUGCGAGCUCCAUAUCAGCCUCAACCACAGAGAGCAGCGGCUCCAGAGUCAGGGGACAGUAUUGAACUUUUGAUGGCAUGAGGAAACAAACUGGUUUCACCAAAGUUGCACGAGGGCCAGAAACUAAAUGGCUUCAUGAUUGACAAUACAUUUACAUCAAAGGCAGUGUACAUUGGACAAUGACACAUUUACGUUUGUCACCACAGAUUUAGAGGACAGUGGUGUGGAGGUUGACACGACAACAGCAUCUAGUGACCACAGAAGUACCACACCAGUCAAUGUAUGACUACAAGGACUAAGGAUACCUUAAUCCACCUGAGUGACAGAUUAUUUGCUGUUGAGACUGUUCUGAAAUAUUUGGUUUCUGCAUGCAACAAUAAAUAAGAAACAUUUGUUUGCUUGGGACAAGAUCUUUGUUAACCAGUAUAAUAGUGAUUUCCUGACCUGUCCAUAACUUGAUAAUAAAUAUCUAAAUAUUA